rnacentral:sRNA from 1 species
UAAUAGUCGGUGAUAUAAACUGGCGGCC